rnacentral:misc_RNA from 1 species
UCCGGUUUGUCACCGGCAGUCUCAUUAGAGUGCUCAACUGAAUGUAGCAACUAAUGACAAGGGUUGCGCUCGUUGCGGGACUUAACCCAACAUCUCACGGCACGAGCUGACGACAGCCAUGCACCACCUGUGACAGUGCCCCGAAGGGAAAGUGUGUUUCCACACCGGUCACUGACAUGUCAAGCCCAGGUAAGGUUCUUCGCGUUGCGUCGAAUUAAACCACAUGCUCCGCUGCUUGUGCGGGCCCCCGUCAAUUCCUUUGAGUUUUAGCCUUGCGGCCGUACUCCCCAGGCGGGGCACUUAGUGCGUUAGCGCCGGCACCGACGGGAUCAAGACCGCCGGCACCUAGUGCCCAUCGUUUACAGCGUGGACUAC